rnacentral:rRNA from 1 species
UACGUAGGGUGCAAGCGUUGUCCGGAAUUAUUGGGCGUAAAGAGCUCGUAGGCGGUCUGUAGCGUCGGCUGUGAAAACCCGGGGCUCAACCCCGGGCCUGCAGUCGAUACGGGCAGACUAGAGUGUGGUAGGGGAGACUGGAAUUCCUGGUGUAGCGGUGAAAUGCGCAGAUAUCAGGAGGAACACCGGUGGCGAAGGCGGGUCUCUGGGCCAUUUCUGACGCUAAGGCACGAAAGCGUGGGGAGCGAACAGG